UCAUUUAAUCAAAUAUCUUCAUUUAACCGUUUAUCUUAACCGUUUUCAGCAUUAUUCAAUAAAUAAUGUAAUUCGUUAAUUACGAUUUUAUUACAAUAUUAUACAUAACCUAUUUUGUCUGCAAAUUUAUGAGUAAUGUGUCACUUGUAGAACGCGAAAUUGAGUUAUGAGUGGACGUAUGUAUGGUUAGUUGGUGAACCUUGGUUCGUCAAUCAGUGUGUGGGUUGAUUCAAGGUUCACAAGUGUUGUAAAAGACGAUUCUGAAAUCUGGUGACACAAUGGUAAGAGUCUAAAAGAUGCAUUGAGAUUGGUGUUCAUGACACACAAAAAAACAAAAAAUAUGUCAAGUAGACAAAAAAAAUUAAAAUGAAAAGUCAAGAUUGAUGGACAAAAAAAUAAACGGCUAAGAUGGAAUAGUCUUUUAUAAUGACAACCUUUCCUGAAAAUUGUUUUAUAUUUUUAAGUAUAAUAUUAUUUUCAGAGAUUUUUGUUUCUCUUUUAUUUUGUAUUUUGCAAAUCUUUCCUAGAUAUGGUAACAAAAUUGUUGAAUUUAUUUUUUGAAAUUGUAUCAAUCAUUUUAAUAUCACUAGUCAUACGAUGGCAUGUGCCGACAAUCCAAGUAUCUUUAAAAAUCAUGGAAUGAAAAUUAAAAUUUAUACCUGACAUUUUGUUCAACAAUUCUUUUAGUGUUGUCAAAUCUUCAUUUGAUAACUAGUGAAAGAAUUUGAUAGGUAGUAGAUGCUUCAUUUGAUUUCUGGCCGAAGGUUCUUGGGGUGAAGCCGGAACCAGAGUCGAAGCCUGAUCUUUGUGAAAGAAGGGAUGCGGAAGCGUCGUCCUUACCAACAAUGUUAUUUCCCAAAUCUUCACUGCAGGUUGCCAUUUGGUGACAAUUCGACGGCGGCAAUUUCACAAUUUGGGGAUGAAAUCUCUAAAUAUUUAUAAGUAUGAAGAGAGAAAGUGAA
rnacentral:lncRNA from 1 species